rnacentral:rRNA from 1 species
UACGUAGGUGGCAAGCGUUGUCCGGAAUUAUUGGGCGUAAAGCGCGCGCAGGUGGUUCUUUAAGUCUGAUGUGAAAGCCCACGGCUCAACCGUGGAGGGUCAUUGGAAACUGGGGAACUUGAGUGCAGAAGAGGAAAGUGGAAUUCCAAGUGUAGCGGUGAAAUGCGUAGAUAUCGGGAGGAACACCAGUGGCGAAGGCGGCUCUCUGGGCCCUACCUGACGCUGAGACGCGAAAGCGUGGGGAGCGAACCGG